rnacentral:lncRNA from 12 species
CCCCCCCCCCCCCCCCCCCCCCCCCCCCCCCCCCCCCCCCCCCCCCCCCCCCCCCCCCCCCCCCCGACGCGGCCGCAGGAAGCCGGGCUGCGGGGACGCGGCCGCACGUGACGCCCCACGUCCGCCUCGGCCGGGAAGGAGCCCGCAGCCCUGCGCAGCUGAUGCGGACCAGCCCCGCUGCGUUGUUGCAGCUCUCCCGGCUCUCAGCCAGCAGUUACUUUUCAGCUGAGAAAUGGAAGGUGCAAACUUGGACUAAAAAUUUGUAAGGAGCCAUAAUCAAUUUUCCUAUGAGGUAGGGAAGAUUUUGUGUAAAUAUUUUCUGGGAUGCUUGUUUUGCAGUGCGUGUAGUCAUAGGGUAUGUCACUGUAUUUUGAGGUGUUUUGUGUAAAGCUUACAUGAUGGUGCAUGGUGGAGGAACACAUAUAUAUAUAUGUGUGUGUGUGUGUGUGUGUAUGUUUUCAGGCUGGACACAGAGUGGUUUUGUAGCUCGAAUGAUAGAGGCAGUUCCUGUCCAGGUAAUGUAUUGAUGAGAUUUUGCUGAUGGCAUAUGAACAGACGUGUUCGGAGUCAAGGAUGAUCCAAGGGUGUGUACAGUGCCUUUAGUAGUUUGGAAUGGAGAGAUGAUGUCAUUCUGUGCUUUAAGCUUUCCCCAUUUAAGAAAAGCUGUUAUAUUUAAGGUAUGUAAGUGCAGCAAAUGAAGAGCUAGUUCAUGUGGUCAAAAUGAACAGGCUGAAGGGUGACUGAAAGUGUAUGGAUGUUUAUUAUGCAAGUGGUAGGUUGAUUUGUAGCUUAAACAGGCAGAGAAAUUAUAAAGAUGAAUUAUUUUUCUGUAGCUUGUUGAUUAUGUAGAUCUCAUUGUGAAGAAUGCCAUUUAAUUUGGUAGGAUAUUGAUGGACUGUAAA